UAGGAAAACACUAUGGAAUUAAAUAGUUACAGUUUUCCAGCUUUAUUUAAUACAUCUUCUUUAUUGUUUAGCAGAAAAAAAGCUAAAUAAGUUUGGAACAAAUAAAGAAUGAGACUAAAAUGGCAGAAUUGUCAGUUUUGGGUGAGCUAUCCCUAUAAGUUAAAGUAUAUAAAUUGAGGUUCAUAUGCCUAAUUAAUAUAGAUAGUAAUUAAAAGGUCUGCUAGUCUAAAUUUCUAUUUUGAUUGGUCUUUUGAUGUUUUAUUUAAAACCCACUCUUCUCUUUGCUCAACAGGCUAUUUUUACAUAGAGGUAAUCUUCUAUUGAUAAUUUCUGGAUUUUAAUUAUGCAAUGUUUUCAGCUGUUGAAUUCACCUCAGAUCAGUGUUGCUGUAAUUCCUGAUGGAAAGAAGAAUUGGAUGAGCGAGCAACGCCACAACUACAGGACCUCUUCUUUCUCUUCU